rnacentral:rRNA from 1 species
GAUUAUGGUCAUACCACCCUGAGCACGGAUGAGCUCAUCUGCCCUCAGAAGCUAAGGAAAGCCGGGCCUGGUUAGUACACGGAUACAAGACCGCUUAGGAAUACCAGGUCCUGUAUGCU